GAUGAACGCUGGUGGCGUGCCUAAUACAUGCAAGUCGAGCGAACAGACGAGGAGCUUGCUCCUCUGACGUUAGCGGCGGACGGGUGAGUAACACGUGGAUAACCUACCUAUAAGACUGGGAUAACUUCGGGAAACCGGAGCUAAUACCGGAUAAUAUAUUGAACCGCAUGGUUCAAUAGUGAAAGACGGUUUUGCUGUCACUUAUAGAUGGAUCCGCGCCGCAUUAGCUAGUUGGUAUGGUAACGGCUUACCAAGGCAACGAUGCGUAGCCGACCUGAGAGGGUGAUCGGCCACACUGGAACUGAGACACGGUCCAGACUCCUACGGGAGGCAGCAGUAGGGAAUCUUCCGCAAUGGGCGAAAGCCUGACGGAGCAACGCCGCGUGAGUGAUGAAGGUCUUGGGAUCGUAAAACUCUGUUAUUAGGGAAGAACAAAUGUGUAAGUAACUAUGCACGUCGUGACGGUACCUAAUCAGAAAGCCACGGCUAACUACGUG
rnacentral:rRNA from 1 species